rnacentral:lncRNA from 1 species
AUGUUCUGGUCUCCCCCAAAUGCUCAGGAGUGCCCUGCAGACCCCCUGCCUACUCUCGGCUUGACCCAGACCCCUGCCGCGGAGUGUGCCCUUCGGCUUCUCUUCCUCUGGAGGCCCCAGUUCUGGCACCUGAAGUCCAGCUUCACAGCCGGCUGGGAGCUAAGCCCUGGUGCCAUCUCCGUAGGAGGGGAGGAGUCUUGUGCUGCGUUCAAUGCGAACGCCGCAGUCUCUAAGGAGACAGGUAAAUCUCCGGAUGCUGCGAUCAGAUUGCUGAGGGAGAUCCGCUUCCGAUGCCUGCCUCCUGGCUCCUCCGAGGGCCAAUUCAAGGACCUGGCUCUGAGACCUGCAUGGAUUAUUUCCGCUGAGAUGUUUUCCUCUGGCUUUGCAUCCUGCUUGGAACCUGCAACACUUCGGCCACCUGAUGUGAAAAACUGACUCACUGGAAAAGAACCUGAUGCUGGGAAAGAUUGAAGGCAGGAGGAGAACAGGGCGACAGAGGAUGAGAUGGUUGGAUGGCAUCACUGACUCAAUGGACAUGAGUUGGAGUAAACUCCGGGAGUUGGUGAUGGACAGGGAGGCCUGGCGUGCUGCGAUUCAUGGUGUUGCAAAGAGUCGGACACGAUUGAGUGACUGAACUGAACUGGAACCUUCCUGCGGCUUUCUUCUCAAGUACACGCUAUGGUUUUGUGAGCUCAUAUAUUUUUUUUUUCCCAAGGCUGGAGACUGUGCUCCAUAACCCAUUAGCCACGUCAAGUCUAGACCUAACCAAGAGCCCAAAAACUGUGGGUUUUUUUUUUUUUUUAUGUUUUGGUAUUUACUGAAUCUGGCAGCCCAUUAGAUUGUCUAGUACAAGUCUUUAGACUGAAAACUAAAAUCAACAGAGACAGAGACUUAAGCAGCAUGUUGAGAAGAAAGACACUACUUCUACAACUUGAUCAGCCACUUAGGAACUGCCAUUUCUGAAAGAUUAGAAAACAUCCCAAUUUGUGGCUGAUCACUAGUAUUUACGAGGGUUCACUGUAUGCAAAGUCUUUUGCACUCAGCUCUCAUUAAGUACUAUAGUCCCACAUUAUGGAUGAGUAAACUAAGGCCAAGAAAGGUUUAGUAACUUGGAUAACAUCACUACAAUUAACUAGGAGAGACAGGACUAGAACGUGUUUCACUGCCCCCUAAAAGCCCAAGUUCACAGCUUCUGAUAAUAAUAACCAACUUCCAUUGAGCACCUACUGUGUGCCAGUUACUGCUAUGUGUGCUUUAUGUGUAUUAUCUCAAUAACCCCCCUCAGUGACCUUGUGAGGCAGGUACUACUGUGAAACCCAUUUCGUAGAUGAGGAAUGUGAUGGAUGGAGACUAAGUGAAGAGUUGGAGUCAUGAGCCACCCACCUAAAUUGUCCCUCUGGAUCAGUGGAGGCUAUUGGUCUCCCUUCUAAUCAACUUUACCAUAAAGACUUGUGUAAAAGUCAAAAUAAAAUAGAAAAAUCAACAGCA